GCCCUCUCAGGAUGGCACCUGGAGAGUUUUCAGUGCUCUGCUAGUCUCAGCUAGGGGAGGGAGAGUCAAGCAAAGGCUCACCCAUUCCAUUCCUAGCUUUGGCAGUGGCUAGAGAGUGAAAGACAAUCUGCAACAAGU